rnacentral:rRNA from 1 species
AUUGAACGCUGGCGGCAUGCUUUACACAUGCAAGUCGAACGGUAACAGGCCUUCGGGUGCUGACGUGUGGCGCACGGGUGUGUAAUGCACCGAAACGUCUCCCUAGGUGGGGGAUAACGCAGCGAAAGCUGUGCUCUUAUUGCAUGUGAUCUGUGGAUGAAAGCGGGGGACCUCGUAGCAAUGUUUGGCCUCGCGCCUUUCUAGCGGCCGAUGUCGGAUUAGCUAGUUGGUGGGGUAAAGGCCUACCAAGGCGACGAUCCGUAGCUGGUCUGAGAGGACGAUCAGUCACACUGGGACUGAGACACGGUCCAGACUCCUACGGGAGGCAGCAGUGGGGAAUAUUGGACAAUGGGCGAAAGCCUGAUCCAGCAAUGCCGCGUGUGGGAAGAAGGUCUUCGGAUUGUAAAGCGCUUUAAGUAGGGAGGAAGGGGAGUAAGUUAAUACCGGGCGGUUAUGACGGUACCUGCAGAAUAAGCACCGGCUAACUUCGUG